CCUACGGGAGGCAGCAGUGAGGAAUAUUGGGCAAUGGAGGCAACUCUGACCCAGCCAUGCCGCGUGCAGGAAGACUGCCCUAUGGGUUGUAAACUGCUUUUAUACAGGAAGAAACACACCUACGUGUAGGUGCUUGACGGUACUGUAAGAAUAAGCACCGGCUAACUCCGUGCCAGCAGCCGCGGUAAUACGGAGGGUGCAAGCGUUAUCCGGAAUCAUUGGGUUUAAAGGGUCCGCAGGCGGUCAAUUAAGUCAGAGGUGAAAUCCCAUAGCUUAACUAUGGAACUGCCUUUGAUACUGGUUGACUUGAGUUAUACGGAAGUAGAUAGAAUAAGUAGUGUAGCGGUGAAAUGCAUAGAUAUUACUUAGAAUACCGAUUGCGAAGGCAGUCUACUACGUAUAUACUGACGCUCAUGGACGAAAGCGUGGGGAGCGAACAG
rnacentral:rRNA from 1 species